rnacentral:rRNA from 1 species
UGACCUCAAAUCAGGUAGGAUUACCCGCUGAACUUAAGCAUAUCAAUAAGCGGAGGAAAAGAAACCAACAGGGAUUGCCUUAGUAACGGCGAGUGAAGCGGCAAAAGCUCAAAUUUGAAAUCUGGUACCUUCGGUGCCCGAGUUGUAAUUUGUAGAAAACUAUCUUUGGUUUGGCCCUUGUCUAUGUUUCUUGGAACAGGACAUCAUAGAGGGUGACAAUCCCGUCUGAUGGGGUGCCCAUUCCUAAUAAGAUGUUUUCGAAGAGUCGAGUUGUUUGGGAAUGCAGCUCAAAGUGGGUGGUAAAUUCCAUCUAAAGCUAAAUAUUGGCGAGAGACCGAUAGCGAACAAGUACUGUGAAGGAAAGAUGAAAAGAACUUUGAAAAGAGAGUGAAAAAGUACGUGAAAUUGUUGGAAGGGAAGGGUAUUCGAUCAGACUGGUAUUUAGUUAUCCUUAUCUCUCGGGAUGGGGCCAUAACUUUUUACCGGGCCAGCAUCAGUUUUGGUGGCAAGACAAGAACAGUUGAAUGUGACUCCCUCGGGAGUGUUAUAGCCUCUGUUGAUGUUGCCUACCGGGACUGAGGUCUGCGGCUUUGCCUA